rnacentral:rRNA from 1 species
GACGAACGCUGGCGGCGUGCUUAACACAUGCAAGUUGAACGGAAAGGCCCUGCUUUUGUGGGGUGCUCGAGUGGCGAACGGGUGAGUAACACGUGAGUAACCUGCCCUUGACUUUGGGAUAACUUCAGGAAACUGGGGCUAAUACCGCAUAGGAGCUCCUGCUGCAUGGUGGGGGUUGGAAAGUUUCGGCGGUUGGGGAUGGACUCGCGGCUUAUCAGCUUGUUGGUGGGGUAGUGGCUUACCAAGGCUUUGACGGGUAGCCGGCCUGAGAGGGUGACCGGCCACAUUGGGACUGAGAUACGGCCCAGACUCCUACGGGAGGCAGCAGUGGGGAAUAUUGCACAAUGGGCGGAAGCCUGAUGCAGCAACGCCGCGUGCGGGAUGACGGCCUUCGGGUUGUAAACCGCUUUCGCCUGUGACGAAGCGUGAGUGACGGUAAUGGGUAAAGAAGCACCGGCUAACUACGUG